ensembl:lncRNA
CAGGCAGCCACAGAGCAGAGCAGGAGGAGCAGCGAGAGGAGGCCGGGAGCGGAGUGUAUCGCUUUCCCUGUUCCUGAAAGGUCCUCUCUGGCCAAGUAGAGGGAGAGGAGCGCUUCUGAGGAAGCCAUCAUUGAAGAGAGUGAAAAGGUCACGAUUACGUGGACACCUCCGGGUUCACUGGCCCCACUUCUGCGCCCCUUCUCCAGGCGCCGACACCUCGCCGUCCUGGAGCCCUCGUUCUCGGAACCGGAACCGGAACUGGAUCACAGUGGGCAGCACAGCCACAGCGCCCAGAGCACCAGUCCUUGAGAGUUCAGACGCCCAAUUAGUGUCCUUAUAAAAUGGUGUCAGGGAACCUUCUCUAAAAUCCCGUAUAUCACCCUUAGGACACUGAAGUAUCCGUACGCCGAAUCAUCCAUCUUCCUGCAGAUCUCCUCUCCUCCCACUUACUUGGGCCUAAAGCGGCUGCUUGCAGUGAGAGAAGAGAAGCAGGAUCUUCCUUCCCUCGUUCUUGCUCUGCUCCUUCUCUUCUACAAGUUUGGCCGUUCCGUGGGCUCCUCGUAAAUUGCCUUCACUGGAAAAUUCCGAUUCUGCCCCACUGACAGGUAGACAACGCCCUUCCUGAGCCCCCGGCUUUCACAGUGACCCCUCAGUUUGGACUCUCAGUGUUAGAAGCUGUGGCACCGGGCAGAAGCUACUUUUCUCCUAUGCAUCUGCAGUGUUUUCCUCCCAAGUCCAAGGAAGCUGGUCAUAAUCUGAAGAUGAUCUUGCCAUCAACUGUUCCUGCAGAUAGCACCAGGGAGCCCUUUGUCUGUAACAUAAGCCGCUGUUUGUCCCAGGAAUUAGGCUUCAAAAGUUAUCAGGGUUUUUACUCUACCUGGAGCUGACCUUACCUUCCUCCUGGCUCUGCUCAAGCCUUGCUUCCUCCAGAAAUCUCUUCCAAAGGAAUAUGACCCUCAUCGAUCAUGCCUCUGGGUCCGUGGGUGCUUUACUCAUGGCCUGAGCCAUUCAUUAUGGACCCUCAAUAUGGAGCUUAAUUAAAC